CCUACGGGAGGCAGCAGUGAGGAAUAUUGGUCAAUGGCCGCAGGGCUGAACCAGCCAAGUCGCGUGAGGGAUGACGGUCCUAUGGAUUGUAAACCUCUUUUGUCAGGGAGCAAAGGGCGCCACGUGGGGCGCUUUGCGAGUACCUGAAGAAAAAGCAUCGGCUAACUCCGUGCCAGCAGCCGCGGUAAUACGGAGGAUCCGAGCGUUAUCCGGAUUUAUUGGGUUUAAAGGGAGCGUAGAUGGGUUGUUAAGGCAGUUGUGAAGGUUUGCGGCUCAACCGUAAAAUUGAAAUUGAUACUGGCAGUCUUGAGUACAGUUGAGGUAGGCGGAAUUCGUGGUGUAGCGGUGAAAUGCUUAGAUAUCACGAAGAACUCCGAUUGCGAAGGCAGCUUACUAAACUGCCACUGACAUUGAUGCUCGAAAGUGUGGGUAUCAAACAGGAUUAGAUACCCUGGUAGUC
rnacentral:rRNA from 1 species